AUUGAACGCUGGCGGCAGGCUUAACACAUGCAAGUCGAGCGGUAGCACGGGGCCUCUUGCUGCCUGGGUGGCGGGCGGGGGAAGGGGGGGUUAUGACUGGGAAACUGCGUGAUGGAGGGCGAUAACAACUGGAAACGGUUGCUCCAACCGCGUAAAGUCUGAAGAUGAAGGAUGUGGGGCCUCGGGCCUCUCGCCUUCAGAUGUGCCAAGAUGGGAUGAGCUAGUAGGUGGGGUAAUGGCUGACCGAGGCGACGAUCCCUACCUGGUCUGAGAGGAUGAUCAGCCACACUGGAACUGAGACACGGUCCAGACUCCUACGGGAGGCAGCAGUGGGGAAUAUUGCACAAUGGGCGCAAGCCUGAUGCAGCCAUGCCGCGUGUGUGAAGAAGGCCUUCGGAUUGUAAAGCACUUUCAGCGGGGAGGAAGGUGGUGAGCUUAAUACGUUGAUGGAUUGACGUUACUCGCAGAAGAAGCACCGGCUAACUCCGUG
rnacentral:rRNA from 1 species